rnacentral:lncRNA from 1 species
UAGGCAAUCAGGACAUACCACAUUCAUACAUGCACUUCAAUCAAAGUAAGAUAUAGGCCUCAUCGAAAACCUUAAACUUCAUUCGAUAAACAUAACGACCAUAUAUAACAAGGUUGUGCCACAAAAGGAGUACAUAUUAUAUGUUUGCCACACAACCAAACUAAUUAAACUAGUGCCACAAAAGAUGCACAUAUGCUUCUAGAUGUGUGCCACACAACCAAAAUGAGCUUAACAACCACCAAAAUGCAGCAGGGACAAACAAGACACGUGACAUUAUCACUCCAUCAACUUAAUUGUAGGUCUUCCAAAUCUUCAGCAGCUUAAAGAUCUUCCAAACCUUAGUGAACUUGUGCACCUUUGAGAAACCUGCAAUAGACCAGAAAAUGUUACAUACAGCAGCCGCAUAUGUUCUGAAAGAUGUUAUAAGUAGGUAACAUGCGCAAAGUUACUGUACUAGCCAGCGAAUUAAGUUAGCUUGUAUUUGGGCUUGCUUUUCCUUCUAAGCUCUCUGCAUCUACAACACAGAAUAAGAGGGGAACUAGCUGGAGCAUAUAUUUCAGGAUCUUCUAAUGGGGGGCUGUUUAGUUUCCUAGUUCCAUGCUUUUGUUGGACAAGUUAGAAAUGAAGGUCCCCUAAAAUGGUAUCUGAUUAGUGGGCAAGCCCACAUAUUUACAAAUCAACUGAAACACUAAGAACAUUUGGUUCAAUAAUAAACAAUUUUUAUUGGUUCACUUUCCUACAUCACGCACAACAAGUUGAAUUAGCCUAGAAAAUUAAACUUUGUUUGUCUGCAUAAAGCCUUGGUAUUUCAGCUUGUUUGUCUGCAUAAAGCCUUGGUUUAAUUUUCAGCCUACAAAACGUUUUGAACUGCAGAGACAACAGAAUCAACUUUGAAUAUUUUCUAAGUACAAACCAGCAAUAUCUAGAAACUAACAAAAUUGUAACAUCAAAACAAGAAAUCAUAAAAACACUAAAUACAUGCCAAAGCAAAUGAUAUGGCAGCUGACAUGUACGUUCACUAGAAAUAUAAGACGUUUUUGUAAUUUAAUUUGAACUGCAAAAAUGUCUUAUAUUAUGGUACAGAGGUAGCAGUAAGCAGCAAAAUGCAAGGUUAAACAAUUUUUACACAUGGGAUGUUUUUUUCCAAAAUUGCAUGCUAAGCAUAGCAUGUUUAUACUUCUUAAAUUAACAUAGCACUAUAAUUAGAAUCCACAAUUAUAAGUUAGUACAAUUUAUAUCAAAACUUUGACAUCUUUGUAUUGAAGCUUGUUAUUUGCAAAGCUGUCAUAUUAUUAAUCAAAGAACAAGAGCUUGUUAAUUUAAUUUUACUUUGACAUCUUGUACGUGAGCUUGUCAUUUAUACUUUGGUAUCUAGUUAAGCAAAGAACAGCAAACAGCAGCUGACAGAAUACCUAUUCUGUUGUACAAAAUACUAAACAGUGUAAUGCCCGGUCAACCAUUUUUUACACAUGAAAAGGAAGUACUAGACAAUGCGUAGGAAUACAAGAGAAGGCAACACAUAUCCUCCUCAUAAAUGGUUCUAUGGCAGGCAAACCAACGAGUCUGUGUCAAGUACUGCCCAAUAACACAAGACUAAGCUUCAGAAUACACAGAGGAUGCAAAAGCUCAGUUCUGAAUACACAAGGCAUGCUUACUAGAAGAUGCACGCUGAUCACAGGAGAAACAAUCUAAAAAGUUUAUUUCAGUGAAAGCACCCAGUGAAAAUUAGAGAAUAGUUUGUAAGAAUUACAUAUAGGAAAAAAGAGCAAGGUACUGAGCUAGCCUCAUGACCCAUUUCUUCCAUUUUUUUUCUACUUAGGAACAUAGCCACACACACCAGCACUACUACCAAACCUGGACACAGAACCUAAAAAACGAGCAUCCAAAAAGUCCUUUAUCAGCAACAAAUAAAUAGUCUUACUAAAGAGCAAAUUUAUUGCACUUGUAGAUUCCAAAAAAUGUAACUAAACUACAGGAUAAUAGUAGAAUAGAGGUACUAGAAACUUGCACAUUAUACAGUUUUUACAGAAGAAAAUCUACAAUCCUACGGAUCCACAAGCAAAACCGAAACCAUAUCACUAUAGGGUCUACAAAGUACAAUGAUAUUUCCCAUCUGAAACUUUGCCUUUGGCAUUUGACAAAUUGCCAUUAGAGAGUCGUGCAUCUCAACAGAAAGGGGAAAUAAUUGUAAACCCCACAAGCCAAACAUCAUAUCAACCUAAAUUAGAUAUUAAACUAAGUAACCUUUCUUGUCAGGGUUCUCCAAAGUCCAAAUACACACAUGAGAACCGGAAUAGGCAGCAAUUCAUCAGUCGAAACUACCUAUUGUUUGGUCAAUCGCACAAUACCCAUCUAAUUUGCUUGUAUAGCUCUGCUCCAAAGUCCAAACUGAUCUACAUGCUUCCACAGUUUAUAUUUGACAGAUAGUAGCCUUAAAACAUUCCGAUAUCAAUAUUCAUCCUAGCACAGGGUCAGCCAUCAACAGCAAAGGAUGUCACAAUUGCACACCGUGUAGUCCAAAAACAUGCAGAUAUAUUCUGCAGCCGCAACCCUUAAAUCCUAGGAGUUGGCCGAUCGAGGGGAUUACAAAUGCGCAAAAAUUAGAACGAACAUUUGAUUCGGAUUUAUCUCAAGGGGAAACAUACAGAGAGAAGGAAGGGCGGAAGGGGAUGCUCACGGGGAGGUGGGAGGAGGGCUCCCGCUAUAGUGGCCGCUUGAGGUCGACGUUCCGCUACUUGGGGUAGAGAUGCUCACGGGAGAGGAGGCGGACCCCUUGGUGCUUCAGUGAAGAGGAGGCAGCCUGCUCGAGGGAGGAAGCUCUCAGGGUGGUGGUGAGGAAGGCGUUCCGCGGAAGAUGGUCGCCGCCGGUGAAGCGGUUCGGCGACACUAGUGGUGCUCCGUGUCAAUCGGGUGCUCGGCGGUGUCGCUCUGGAGUGGUUGGGGGCAACGACGGCGUGGUUGGGGACGAAGGGCGGUCGGCAGCAGUGUGGUGGUUGGGGUCGGCGGAGGGGCUGCAGUGGUGGUUGGGGCCGACGGAGGGCUGCGGCGGUGGUGGGUGACGGCGGCAGUGGUGAUCUAGGUGGAGGGCGGCCGCCGGCGCUGGGAUAGUUGGGGGCGGUGGCGGCGAUCUGGUGGAGGGUACGGGUGGAUUGGGCGUCGAGAUCUGGGGGAGGCUCUA